rnacentral:rRNA from 1 species
AUUGAACGCUGGCGGCAUGCCUUACACAUGCAAGUCGAACGGCAGCGCGGGGCAACCUGGCGGCGAGUGGCGAACGGGUGAGUAAUAUAUCGGAACAUACCCUAGAGUGGGGGAUAACGUAGCGAAAGUUACGCUAAUACCGCAUACGCACUAAGGUGGAAAGUGGGGGAUUCGCAAGAACCUCAUGCUCAUGGAGUGGCCGAUAUCUGAUUAGCUAGUUGGUGAGGUAAAGGCUCACCAAGGCGACGAUCAGUAGCUGGUUUGAGAGAACGACCAGCCACACUGGAACUGAGACACGGUCCAGACUCCUACGGGAGGCAGCAGUGGGGAAUUUUGGACAAUGGGGCAACCCUGAUCCAGCAAUGCCGCGUGAGUGAAGAAGGCCU